rnacentral:misc_RNA from 1 species
AAUCUGUGAAGGCCUUGACCUUGAGUGUUCAGGCCCGGUCAGCCUUGUCAUCAAUUUCUCAUUUGUAUUCAUUAUUUAUUUUGUUGUUGCCCUGUGGAUUGUACUCUUCAGAGUGCCUCUAUGACAUUGGAAAUUGAAAAUCUGUAUUCACUGUUUCAUGUCAUCAUUUUGUCAUGGUAAUCUGUUAUUGUGUACUUUGUUUCAAAAAUAAGUGUUCUCUGUAGAAAAUUUUCAUUGAAAAUGGGAGAUAAUCCAGUAAUAAAUGAAGCCUGGCCUCAUUUGAUGGCAGUGGAUGCUUCAUUGGAACUCAAAGGGAUUCAGAAACUAACAUACCACUUCUUGCUUAGACAUGAAUACAGAUGUACCUUGGCCAGCCCUGUACUUUCUCUUCACUCCCAGAGGCUGGUUUUUGUGCAGUUGAAAAAGCAGCAUUUCUGAUACAUGUACAUGUUGCAUCAUCAUGUUUUAAUGAUGUUGUCUGUAUGUAUGUAAAAAGUAUAAGAAUGUAGAUGUGCUAAUUAACAAUUUCAUGGUACAUAAACAGUAUUGUCUGUAAAUUUAUCAAAGAAUAUGGCAGUUUUAACUAUUCUUAAAACAGAAUAUGACAAAUUUAGCAAAAUCUGUCUGAUCACAGAAAUCCCAUUCUAAAUCUGUUAUAUAACUUUUAUUGGUGCCACUGCUCUUAUGUACUGAAAUAUAUACGAAGGGAAGCAAUAAUUGUGAAUUCGUCUUAAGUGGUCUUCUCUUGAAAAUAAAUAUUACAAAAACUU